GGAGGAGAGACUGCUCCAUAAAAAUACAGACUCACCAGUUCCUGCUUUGAUGUGACAUGUGACUCCCCAGAAUACAUCUUGCUUCUGUAGACCAGCUCCAACAGGAUUCCAUGGUAGCUGGAAUGUUAGGGCUCAGUGGUUCACUAUUAAAAGAUGCUACUGGAUUGAAUUUCCUCACGUGCCAGUCUUUUUGAAGAACAGCUGUCUAAACCUGGAAUUGCUGAUGGGUACCACCACAUCGCCUUCCAAAAUGUCUCAGUUCCCACAACAGUCUGAGAAAGUGGCACUUCCCAUACCCUCCAGAAUUGGAUGCCCAUCUUUUCAAUUUGUGCUCCUUGGGUUAUUACUGAGGCUGGACCUCAGUAAUCAUCAGCCGUUUGUAUUUGGUCUUUGUGAAUUGCUUGCCUGUUGAUGUCCUGCAUUCAUUCUUCCAUCAGGAUAUUUUUUUAAGUUGAUUUGUAAGAACUUAUAAUGUAUUAAGGAUAUUCUUUGUCAUCAUGCAGAUGUUUUUCCUACCUUAUCAUAUAAUUUUGAUUCUGCCUCUCUUUUUGAUGUAUGAGAUUUCUGUUAUUAUUUUUUUCUUUGGCUUUUAUACUUAGAAAGUCCUUUCCUACUUUAAGAACAUGUUAAUAUUCAUCUAUAUGUUUUUCUUCCUAAAAAAACUUGAUGUACUAUAUUGAUAUAUACAAAAGAAUCUUAUAGGUAAGUUGUCCUGUGUUUUUCAUAUGGUUAUAAUGCCUGUUUUUGUAUUGAACUUUGAGUAGGGAUGAGGUCUAGAGCCCAUUUAGCCAGUUGUGUCAUAGCCAUUUGGUGAUUCAGUCAUCUGGUCUUCACCUUUAUCAUAAUGUUGACUUCAAGUAAGCAAAGCAUCUC